rnacentral:rRNA from 1 species
UACGGAGGGGGCUAGCGUUGUUCGGAAUUACUGGGCGUAAAGCGCACGUAGGCGGCUUUGUAAGUUAGAGGUGAAAGCCCGGGGCUCAACUCCGGAAUUGCCUUUAAGACUGCAUCGCUAGAAUUGUGGAGAGGUAAGUGGAAUUCCGAGUGUAGAGGUGAAAUUCGUAGAUAUUCGGAAGAACACCAGUGGCGAAGGCGACUUACUGGACACAUAUUGACGCUGGA